GAAAUUUUGAGUAUGUUAAAAAGAUAAGCCUUGGGAAAAGUGGCACUGUUAUUUUCAACAAUGGCUUUCUCCUCUCUCCUUAGAUCUACGCCCACCGUUUCUCUUUCACGCGCAACCGACUUCUCUUCUUCCUCAUCCGAUUGUCUCAAGGUCCGAUUGCCGUCCUGUGUUUUUGCCUUUGUUUUUUAGAAGCUCCGUUUGGUUGUUGUUGACUGAACUGAGCUUGGAAUCUCAAUAGCCAAGAGUAUUCAACCCAUCAAAGCCACUACUACAGAGUUGCUACCCAUAGUUCAAAAAACACGGAGCAGUGGGAGCACAAAGAUUGGAAUCAAUGGUUUUUGGACUCAUUCACGAUCUUGUGGCUGAGGACGUAGUUAUAAUUUAUUCAAGUCUUUAAUCCUUCAGCUUUGUAGAACUAUUUAUUUCUGAAUUGUUUGUCACAUACUUUGGAGCACUGCAUGAGUGUUUGCCUUAUGAUCACAAAGUAUAAAGAUUUCAUAGUUUCAAUUGUAGCGCAUAGAGAUUCAGAAGGUUGCGGUAGGAAAUCUGUAUAGGGCGCUUGCGGUAAGUGUACAUGCAAUUAUUGGUAACACAUUAUUAGCUGCAUUUCAAAUCACAUUAUUGUACGAUGGAUACCUUUGCUGACUUCAUUUUGUUUAAUUCAUGUUUAACCAUGUUUCAUAUCUCACAUUAGUGUUGUUUAUUAGUUAGAGAUUGUUAAUGGUUGCAAUACAUAUAUGUAUAGUUGUCCUAUUCAAUGGAAUCAUUUCACUUUGACCUUGUAUACUGAAGUUUCAUUGGAAGGUUAUGCCAGAAAGUUAAGAAAGC